GGAUCAUUAUCGAACAAAGAUUGUCGCUGGCGAAAGCAUGUGCACAUCUAACCUUCAUAAUUUACACACCUGUGCACCUUUUGUAGGUCCUCGAAAGAGGAUCUAUGUAUUUUCAUCAUCACAACCUAACGUAUGGUCUAGAAUGGUACACCGUUGACCACUGGGCGACGGAAAUAAAUAAAUAAUACAACUUUCAGCAACGGAUCUCUUGGCUCUCGCAUCGAUGAAGAACGCAGCGAAUUGCGAUAAGUAAUGUGAAUUGCAGAUUUUCAGUGAAUCAUCGAAUCUUUGAACGCACCUUGCGCUCCUUGGUAUUCCGAGGAGCAUGCCUGUUUGAGUGUCAUUUUAUUCUCAACCAUGUCUUCUUUUUGAGGGCAUGGCUUGGAGUUGGGGGUUGCUGGCUUGUCAGCUCCCCUGAAAUACAUUAGCGAUGGACAUGCAUAUGCCUUCCGACGUGAUAAUGAUCGUCGUGGGCUGGAGCACCGAUCCCCUAGAYGGUCUUAGUUACUAGUCUUACUCGACGAACACAAGGCUUUCUUGGGGCAAGGCCCUGUCUGCUCGCUUCGAAAUCCCAGAUGCCUUAGCUACUAGUCUGCACGACGAAUGCAAGGCUUCGCUUUGAAAGCUU
rnacentral:rRNA from 1 species